rfam:Medicago truncatula strain A17 unplaced genomic scaffold scaffold0298, whole genome shotgun sequence.
AAGCAGUGUGACAUGCCCGUUUGGUAUUAGACUCUGAUGUAUUAUUCUUAUUUAAUUGCUUUGGAAUAACGGGGUGUUACACUUAU